GAAAGCUCGAGAGAGAGAGAGGGAGCUUGGAGUCAGAAGGCCACCGACCCGGAAGAGAAGCCUGACCGGAACUUUCACCUCCAGCCACCCCACGACGGCGCACGGGCACCAUCCUCUUCGUCUCAUCGUACCCGUCACGUAUGUGGCCGUUGAUUGUCCAUGCACCGGACGACGAAGAAGAAUCGACGGUGAGAAGGUCCGAUUGCUCCGGCGAGUUUCAGCGAAUUCCGGCCACCAAUUGGCUUGCAUGUGCUUCGUCACGGUUCCUCGACGCCGGCGACUUUUCCAGUUCUUCUCGGCUUACUCCUGGCUUCGUUGCAUCUGUAGAAGAAAGCUGACCACGAUUGGAGUUGGAAGUCAUGAACUUGCUGGGUUGUAGGCAUCAAAUCCUCAGUCCAUCUUCAAACCAGUUUUGGCAGUGUUGGGAUAUAGAUGAGGGCAAUAUAGGAGGUUGGGACACCGCUAGAAGAUUGAAUGGGUUUACCUCCAUUACCUUUGUUGUUCUUCAAGUUGGAGAACUUGAUGCUUGAAAAAUUGUCAAAGGUUCAAUAUAUAUCAUCACCUUCAUGACCCAUAUAAACAUGGUCAUUAUGAUAAUCGGUAAAGAAUGAGUCAGGGUGGUUUUUGCAAACCAUGCCAAGUGAUCGAUGAUGAUAUAUCUAAGAUGUAUUUGAUGACUUUAUAACCUCUUUUAAUAUGUUCAUUAUGAGCAAGUCAUGAUAAAAUGAAUUCAUAAAGUGUCAAUAGAAAGGUGACUAGAAAUUUCAACCAAUUUGGUUGUCUGCUAAUUUUUCAUGUGAAUUGCAAUUAUUUUAUUUACCAUUGACGUUCACUUGUCAUCUUAAAGUGGCAUAGAGUAUAUUAUAGAGAUGAGGAGAAAAUUUAAGGAUUAAAUACUGUUUAGUUCUUGAACUUGAGACACUUCAGUCUAUGUCAUUCUGAUUUCACAUGUUUAGUCUUUGUACUCUCAAUUUUGAACCAAUAGGUCAAUUCCAUUACUCUCCGU